AAGUCGAGGAAACCAGAAAAGUCAAUUUUUACCUGUAUUGCAAUCGCCCACAUUGGCCUGCUUGUAAAGGCCGUACAAUUCGAGUAAAUCGCUAUCAGCCGGUGUGCUGCUCAAGUUCUUGACAUCCUCGGCAGCUUGGUUGAAUUCCUGACGACCGCGAUAGUUGACACGAGAGAGAACCACUGUUAAUUAACAGACCCAGGGCCGGCAGUUGUUAAGGAAAU
rnacentral:sRNA from 1 species